rnacentral:rRNA from 1 species
GAGUUUGAUCGUGGCUCAGGACGAACGCUGGCGGCGUGCCUAAUACAUGCAAGUCGAGCGAACGGACGAGAAGCUUGCUUCUCUGAUGUUAGCGGCGGACGGGUGAGUAACACGUGGAUAACCUACCUAUAAGACUGGGAUAACUUCGGGAAACCGGAGCUAAUACCGGAUAAUAUUUUGAACCGCAUGGUUCAAAAGUGAAAGACGGUCUUGCUGUCACUUAUAGAUGGAUCCGCGCUGCAUUAGCUAG